AACACAGUCUCACUCUCUACUCGUCAAAUGUCUGACGCAUGGUCAAGUGAUCUGGCGUCACUUUUUUGACGCACUGGGUAUACCUUUGGCGUUAUUUUUCAACGUGCAGGUUAGUCCGAUAGACUUCUAUAGAACUCAGCAGCGUUUAAAUUUGACGUCUUGGUUCAGCACACCGCAACUACACUGAAUAAAUAAAAAUAAAUAAUAGGCUACAAAAAAAAUUAUAUAUGACAGAGAUCGUUUUUAUCUGGCCCUCCAACUUGUUUUUAAGGGUUUAAAUAUUCUCGCAAUCUGAUAUUAAAGUGAUCUCUGUGCCAAAGCUUAGCGCGUUCAUCAGUGGUGAGUUUAACAACACUCAACUGCAGGUAAAACAGCAUUCAUCGGUGAGUUUGACCAAAGCAACACUCAACUGCAGGGAAAACGACAUAAAAAGGUGAGUUUAACAACGCUCCAAGGCGCGUGCAAGUAAGCAGUUUAACCGUUUUCUUACAACCCAUUUCGCUUAUCGCUUAUUCAUAGUUCAUCAUAUCUAUGAAAUCACGUUCAAGAAGUCUCAUUCAGCACACAUCGCGAUACUUGCCAUCAGUUUCCAUGUGCCACAGGGUCGGUGAGUAGAUAUAAUUACGCUCUUUUAAUGCCUGUUAUAAAAUGUAUUCUGUCUUUAUUAAUCAGAUUAGCGCCAUAUUGUUUACUCGCUGUAUUAUAUCAGUCAUCCGCGGCUGUCUUUGAGUUUCAUUGCGUUUAACUAAAUGAACACACCUGCUAACUAGUGUGAUUAAACCCUGUCGGUCACGUGACGUGCCAUAGACUUUCAAUAUAUUCAUUUCAUGUCAAAGAUGUAAAUUUGUAGUAAAAUCAUGGUAACCACGACACGUACAAUAGCAACAAAUUAAAUUUGAAGUUAAAACCCAGGAACGGGACAUUUACCAUGUUUUUGCCACAGUAACUGUAGUUCUACUAUGGGUAUAUUAAUAAUCAAUACAACAAUACAAUAAUCAUCAAACUAACUUUGGUUGUACAACUGUAAUGGUCGUUUUUGAUGUGCUUUUAUAUGACAGAUAUCACACAUUUACUGUACCAUGCUUUUGAUACCUUUUUAUGUAAAUCCAAAAAAAGUAAAUAAAUAAAAGGAAACAUUUUUCCCUUCCUGCAGUUCAUUCAUAUCAGUUUAUAUUUUAAAUAUUUUGCUCACAAAACAUUAUUAAAAUUCUGUUUAUAAUUCUAUUUUAUUUUACCCCCCUCCUCCUUUCUUAUUUUUAUUAUUUAUGUAUUUUUUUUUUGUUGAAAAGAUGUAAAGGAAGCAGUCAUCCCUGUGGUGUUUGUGGAGAGGUUUUCCUUCAGAAAUGGAGAAGACUGAAAGCUGCGGAGGCAGACAUUUGCAGCAGAUUGUUUGCAGAUAAUGCUGUUCAAGCUCAACAGCUCUUUUAAGAGCUAACCCUCACAAACCUUCCUAAAAACUAAAAGAGCUAUUACUGAGUCUCAGCGAAUUUUGCCAUGAUCAGCUCUUCCCAGAAGAGAAGGAAGACCAAGGAAAUGAUUUGCUCAUGAGGAAUGAAGACAGCCAUCUUGAGCCCAAACAAAGACUGAAGUCCUCUGAUGAUCUCAUCAGCCAAAUGGGGGGUUUUGACCAAGUGAUGCUCUUGAAAGGACUGAAAGAAGAGGAUGUGGUAAAUUGUCUUCAGAGAAAAACCUUCUCAAAAGGUCUUAAAACAGCUUGAAGAAUGGUCUGGGAUCUUAGGACUGAGAGAUCCUCUGGCUGAGAAAAGGCUACACCUCAUCAGUGCUGGACAUCAACCACAAACUGUUUCCAGACACGAGAGAAGAAGAACACGAUGGGGAGAUGAAACCAGUUUAGAUGUGAUGAUGGGAAUCAUUAUUUUCUGGAACAGUAUCACAUGUCUUAAAUGUAUCACAUGAUCUGUAUCACAGUUGACUGGAUGGAUUAUUUUUACUUUUAAGGACAUUUCAUCACUCAUCUGUGUGAACUGAUUAAUUUAUGAUAUUAAUGAAUUUUUGAUCCUUUAUUAUUUUCCUUGAACUGUGUUUGUCUUGAAGCUACUUUAUCAACUUCAUAGUCUAUGCUUCAAUAAAAUUAAUAUGGUGAA